rnacentral:rRNA from 1 species
AGUGAACGCUGGCGGUAGGCCUAACACAUGCAAGUCGAACGGCAGCACAGUAAGAGCUUGCUCUUACGGGUGGCGAGUGGCGGACGGGUGAGGAAUACAUCGGAAUCUACUUUUUCGUGGGGGAUAACGUAGGGAAACUUACGCUAAUACCGCAUACGACCUACGGGUGAAAGCAGGGGAUCUUCGGACCUUGCGCGAUUGAAUGAGCCGAUGUCGGAUUAGCUAGUUGGCGGGGUAAAGGCUCACCAAGGCGACGAUCCGUAGCUGGUCUGAGAGGAUGAUCAGCCACACUGGAACUGAGACACGGUCCAGACUCCUACGGGAGGCAGCAGUGGGGAAUAUUGGACAAUGGGCGCAAGCCUGAUCCAGCCAUACCGCGUGGGUGAAGAAGGCCUUCGGGUUGUAAAGCCCUUUUGUUGGGAAAGAAAAGCAGCAGGUUAAUACCCCGCUGUUCUGACGGUACCCAAAGAAUAAGCACCGGCUAACUUCGU